rnacentral:rRNA from 1 species
GAUGAACGCUGGCGGCGUGCCUAAUACAUGCAAGUCGAGCGAACAGACGAGGAGCUUGCUCCUCUGACGUUAGCGGCGGACGGGUGAGUAACACGUGGAUAACCUACCUAUAAGACUGGGAUAACUUCGGGAAACCGGAGCUAAUACCGGAUAAUAUAUUGAACCGCAUGGUUCAAUAGUGAAAGACGGUUUUGCUGUCACUUAUAGAUGGAUCCGCGCCGCAUUAGCUAGUUGGUAAGGUAACGGCUUACCAAGGCAACGAUGCGUAGCCGACCUGAGAGGGUGAUCGGCCACACUGGAACUGAGACACGGGCCAGACUCCUACGGGAGGCAGAAGUAGGGAAUCUUCCGCAAUGGGCGAAAGCCUGACGGAGCAACGCCGCGUGAGUGAUGAAGGUCUUCGGAUCGUAAAACUCUGUUAUUAGGGAAGAACAAAUGUGUAAGUAACUAUGCACGUCUUGACGGUACCUAAUCAGAAAGCCACGGCUAACUACGUG